rnacentral:rRNA from 1 species
GACGAACGCUGGCGGCGUGCUUAACACAUGCAAGUCGAACGGAAAGGCCUGCUUUCCCUUGUGGAUUGCGGGUACUCGAGUGGCGAACGGGUGAGUAACACGUGAGUGAUCUGCCCCCAACUUGGGUAUAAGCCUGGGAAACUGGGUCUAAUUCCCGAUAGGACUGCAGGGUGGUGCCUGUGGUGGAAAACGAUUUUCUAGUGGUUGGGGAUGAGCUCGCGGCCUAUCUGCUUGUUGGUGGGGUAAUGGCCUACCAAGGCGGGGACGGGUAGCCGGCCUGAGAGGGUGGACGGCGACAUUGGGACUGAGAUACGGCCCAGACUCCUACGGGAGGCAGCAGUGGGGAAUAUUGCACAAUGGGCGGAAGCCUGAUGCAGCGACGCCGCGUGGGGGAUGACGGCCUUCGGGUUGUAAACUCCUUGCGACCGCGAGGAAGCCACCUGGUUGGAAGGGUGGUGACGGUAGUGGUAGAAGAAGCACCGGCUAACUACGUG